AUGCGUGUGGAGGCAAAUGUUGGCUCAUACCACAACGGUGGGAGUGAGGUCGUUGGUGACUCGAACGAUAUGGCGGCACAGAAUACGUCCACUGCAUCUAUGGGAGACGAGGGAGAUGCAGAAGGUGUCGUCGUCAACAAAUCAAAAGCAUCCUGUUGGACUCGACGUGUUAGGAUUGGCAACGCGCCAGAAGAGAGGGAUGCCAACCCAAGCAGAGUCCCUGCCCUAGAGGCAUCGAUGCGAGCUUAUGCAGACAACAAGGGCAAGCCAUUGCAAUCGAACAGCCGCUCGACGAGAUGUGGAUUCCCCGCAUUGAUGCAGGUUCUUAGAUGGGAUGAUAAAGGAUGGUACAUAUGUGAACACAAAGCAGAGGACAACCAUGCAGUCUCAGUUAACUGUAUGGAGAAGCUGCACUGGAAAUCGCACCGACACAUAGAUAGAUACACCAGAGACUUGGUGAAACAGCUGAGAGAGAACAAUAUAAGCCUGAGCAAGGUUUACAGUGUGGUUGGCAGUUUUUUUGGAUAUGUGAAGGAGGUGCCAUUCACAAAGAGAUCUCUCAAAACUCUUUGUGGAAAACUUAACAGAGAGCAGUCGAAAAACGAUGCUACAAAAACAAUAGAGGUGUUCAACGCAAUGCGGGCUGAAGAUCCUGAGUUCAAAUACAGUCUGCAGGUUGAUAGUGAUGGUUGA
rnacentral:rRNA from 1 species